rnacentral:rRNA from 1 species
GUUGCUGCUCGGCCGCACACCCGCGCCUCUGGCUCCCUUUAUCCCACCUUAUCCUCGACGUGCUAACUGACUGAGGGGGCGCUGCUCAGCCGCGUCCGCGUACACGUACACGUACACAAGCUCGCCACAUCGAGGCCAAAAAUGCGAGCGCGUCGACGAGACCAAAUAUCACACUCGUCUGGAUAAGAGUGGCCGUUCUCCCGACCCACCCCGCGCGCGCGAACCCGUGGCCCUCGCGCGCUCAUGGCUUCUUCCUCCUCCGUCUUCUCCCCGCUCCUGCGGCCUACACUCCGGCUGCCGGUCGCGUCGGUAACCACGCGCUCCUCUGUUCCCCACGCUGUGUCGGUGGACAACGCGGCCGCUGCCACGCAGCCGGCGCCGCUCGCGGUUGUCAGUCACAGGAGGGAGCUGGUGGUGGGAACAGCACUCGGCGCGCUGUUCUCGGCGACAACGUUGCCCGUAGGGGCGCGCGAGGUCGAGGCCGGCAAGUACCUGCCGCCGGCGCCGUCCAGCCCGGGCUUCGUGUUCUUCAAGGCCACCACCAAGGACACCCCUGCCCUCCGGGCUGGCAAUGUAGAACCUUACGAGUUCAUCCUACCGCCCACCUGGAAGCAGCUGCGAGUGGCCAACAUACUGUCCGGCAACUACUGCCAGCCCAAGUGCGCGGAGCCAUGGGUGGAGGUGAAAUUCGAGGACGAGAGGCAGGGCAAAGUGCAGGUGGUGGCCUCGCCGCUCAUCCGCCUGACCAACCGGCCGAACGCCACCAUCGAGGACAUCGGCAGCCCCGAGAAGCUGAUCGCCUCCCUGGGGCCCUUCGUCACCGGCAACACCUUGGAACCCGAGGAGAUCAUCGAGACCUCUGUCGAGAAGAUCGGCGACCUAACUUACUACAGCUAUGUGCUGGAGACUCCACUGGCACUGACGGGUUCCCACAAUCUGGCCAAGGCCACGGCCAAGGGGAGCACGGUGGUGCUCUUCGUCGCGAGCGCCAGCGACAAGCAGUGGCAGUCGUCGCAAAAGAUCCUGAAGGCUAUGGUAGAUUCAUUCCAAAUAUGAUUGCAGCAAGUGGGGGCUUGGCCUCCAGACCUGGACGCGCGGAUUUGCUUGCAUUACUUCCACGAGAGAAACUGGUACCUGUUUUUGAGGCUUGGAACACUUGUAAUGAGCUCCUUGAUCGACUAAGGUGACUAUAAGCUUGUACACUGGCUUAUUAUAGAGGUUAUUCCAAUGUACACACUGAUCAUGAACAAUUUGUCUCUUCUUCCAAACAGCAAAAAAGUCUUGAGUCUGAAUUUUCUACCAUGCACGUGAGGUACCAUUGCAGCCGCUUGGAGCAUCUCUAGCCGAUCUCUUAAAAUACUUUAGAGGAGCAAAAAUAUAUUUUAAGGGCCUAAAUGGGAUCUAGCUGUUCGACUUCGUAUUGUAGCCUUAUUGUGUAAUCCAUACCAUAUUGGUAUAGAACUUGUAUGACAUCAUUAUAUAUAUGUGUGUGAUAGGCCACCC